GAUGAACGCUGGCGGCGUGCUUAACACAUGCAAGUCGAACGAAGUCCUUCGGGACUGAGUGGCGGACGGGUGAGUAACGCGUGAGGAUCUGCCCUUAGGAGGGGGACAACCAUUGGAAACGGUGGCUAAUACCCCAUAUGCCGAGAGGUGAAACGGUUAAUUCCGCCUAUGGAUGAACUCGCGUCUGAUUAGCUAGUUGGUGGGGUAAUAGCCUACCAAGGCAUUGAUCAGUAGCUGGUCUGAGAGGACGAUCAGCCACACUGGGACUGAGACACGGCCCAG
rnacentral:rRNA from 1 species